AGUGGAUGCCUCUACACUUAUAAAUGGGACGUUUAAUACACGAAAAGUCGUUUUGUAAUCUAAACGAAUUUCCCAAGGGAAACCCAAAAGUAAAAAACCUGCCAGUAUCAACUUUUACCAGCAGGAAUAAAAACCAAAAGGGAGACCAAGAGUAGCGGAGAGCGAAAUUGGUAUAUGUUUGUCUUUGUAAUAAUAUAACCAAGGGGUUUAUACUGGACUUUUAUUAAAAGUGCAGUAAAGUGUUAAGGUUCUUUUUUUAAAACGUACUUAGCUACUCUUUUGUCUAUAAGAAGAAUAGCUAUAUGAAUAGUUGCCAAAGAAGGUGAAAGCCCUGUAAAACAAUAGAACUGUAUUAUCGAUUUGUCUUCACUGGUUAGUAAAAAGACCCGCGUUGAAGCAAAUAUCUGAAAGUAGAUGGUGGCUAUUAUUAAUGCUUCCAUAAUAAUAAAGAGGUACCACCCUCUAAACUUUAAUUAUAAGUGAUAGAUAGUGUACUAGUACGGUGACGGAAAGGUGAAAAGAGCAACUUUUGUUGUAGUGAAAUAGAUCCUGAAACCCUAUGCUACCAAACAGUUGAUGGCUUAAUCUUUCGCUUCAGCGCUUCAGCAUAGCUGAAUGCUAAAUGGAGCAGAUAUAUACGUAGUCUCAGCGUGCCUUUUGCAACAUGAGAGAAUAAGUCUUCAAAUAUAGCAGCUUAAGCCGAUAGGUGUAGGCA
rnacentral:rRNA from 1 species